GCUGGGCUUGGUAGCACGAGCCUGUAACCCAAGUGGGAGCAUUAAGAUGGUGGAAUGGUUGGCCAUUCCCUGAAGGUUGGGCCUUGGUUGCUAUCUACUGGCUUGCCCGUUCCAAGUGGUGAGUUGUGCCGUGGAUACUUUGCGAAGGCAGAGACUUCUCGGUUCUUAGAUUGGAGGGUAUUGCGUGAGGCUGGCUUCAUAGAGCAGCGAAAACCUCCUCCUCACUCUACAGUGGAAGGAUAACGGGCCGGUGCAUCCUCUACCCACUAGCGCCUGACGGGUCGUUCAAAUUAAACCACCAUCUUU
rnacentral:SRP_RNA from 1 species